UAAAAGUUAAGAGACAAGUUA
rnacentral:miRNA from 1 species